CUUGAACAACUUGCACUUAAAAAAAGUGCUUUUUGUUCAUGUCCGAGGGGGUCGUGAAGAUCAUACUUGCAAGUUACUGUGCUCGGAAGGGUUAUGAUGACUAUAUAAUAAUCAGACAUAGUAUGCUAAGGUAGUAUGUCUAAAGGGAAACAGCCCAGAACAAGAGUUAAUAAGGUUCCAAAAUUAUUGUUAAGUGAAAAUAAGGAAGUUUCAAUCAAAAAUGGCCAGGAAAUAGACUUAGAUGCGGCCAUUUUUUAAAGACCUCGUAACAGAGCACUGGUUCAGUAAAUUAUUUUUAUAAUUUAUAUUGAUAAAAGCACCGAAAAUUUAACGGAUCUAAACAAUAUACCGAGACCUUGUCCAUAUUUAUAUAUAUAUCUAAGUUAUAUAUUGUACUUAUGGGGUAGCAGAACAUUGGGCAAACCUCAGAUUUUUUCUUUUUAAGACUUAAGAUAAGAUAACCCAAGAGAUAAUGCUGACAUGAGUAACGAUAAAGGGAAUGAAUUAUUCCCUCGCCUAAAACUUAUGGUAUUUACUUAAAGUAACGGCCUCUAAGUUUAUGAACCUAAAGGACUAAACGAUGAGAAAAUCUUCCACUCAAAAAAAAACAACCGAGAGGCUAGACUUAUCUAAGACGUAGAUGUAGUGCUAGUGAUUAGUGAAUCGGUACUGGAAAAUUUUAAGUGGUGCAUCAUAUAGGGGAGGAGGCAAUCUCCUGCCUAUUAUGGUGUAAAAACACCGUACCUAGAAACUACCCAGUAGUUAGUA
rnacentral:rRNA from 1 species